AACGCGAAGAACCUUACCUGGGUUUAAAUUGCAUGGGACAGCUACAGAAACGUAGUUUCUCUUCGGAGCCCAUGUGAAGGUGCUGCAUGGCUGUCGUCAGCUCGUGUCGUGCGAUGUUGGGUUAAGUCCCGCAACGAGCGCAACCCUUGCCCUAUGUUGCCAGCGAGUCAUGUCGGGGACUCAUGGGGGACUGCCGGUGAUAAACCGGAGGAAGGUGGGGACGACGUCAAGUCAUCUUGGCCCUUACGUCUGGGGCUACACACGUGCUACAAUGGCCAACACAAAGGGCUGCAAACCAGCGAUGGUAAGCGAAUCCCAAAAAGUUGGUCUAAGUUCGGAUCGUAGUCUGCAACUCGACUGCGUGAAGUCGGAAUCGCUAGUAAUCGUAGAUCAGCCAUGCUACGGUGAAUACGUUCCCGGGCCUUGUACACACCGCCCGUCACGCCAUGGAAGCUGGAAGUGCCCGAAGUCUGUGACCCAACCUUAGGGAGGGAGCAGCCGAAGGCAAGUUCGGUAACUAGGGCGAAGUCGUAACAAGGUAGCCGUAGGGGAACCUGCGGCUGGAUCACCUCCUUUCUGGA
rnacentral:rRNA from 1 species